rnacentral:rRNA from 1 species
CCUACGGGAGGCUGCAGUGAGGAAUAUUGGUCAAUGGGCGGAAGCCUGAACCAGCCAAGUAGCGUGCAGGAUGACGGCCCUACGGGUUGUAAUCUGCUUUUAUACGGGACUAACGCGCCUUACGUGUAGGGCUUUGCAUGUACCGUAUGAAUCAGGACCGGCUAAUUCCGUGCCAGCAGCCGCGGUACUACGGAAGGUCCGGGCGUUAUCCGGAUUUAUUGGGUUUACAGGGAGCGUAGGCCGCAUGUCAAGCGUGCUGUGAAAUGUACGGGCUCAACCCGGUCCUUGCAGCGCGGACUGGCGUGCUUGAGGCCGCGGAAAGCAGGCGGAAUUCGUCGUGUAGCGG